AUCCUUUUGUGGUUCAAAAGAGUGGUGAUGACGUGUUCGCGCUCCGGUGUGAGAUGUGCCUCCCGCAAACCUUGUUACAACACGGGCACGUCACCGUCUGACG